CCUACGGGUGGCAGCAGUGAGGAAUAUUGGUCAAUGGGCGCGAGUCUGAACCAGCCAAGUAGCGUGAAGGAUGACUGCCCUACGGGUUGUAAACUUCUUUUAUAAAGGGAUAAAGUGAGGCACGUGUGCCUUUUUGUAUGUACUUUAUGAAUAAGGAUCGGCUAACUCCGUGCCAGCAGCCGCGGUAAUACGGAGGAUCCGAGCGUUUUCCGGAUUUAUUGGGUUUAAAGGGAGCGUAGGUGGGUUGUUAAGUGAGUUGUGAAAGUUUGCGGCUCAACCGUGAAAUUGCAAUUGAUACUGGCAGUCUUGAGUACAGUUGAGGUAGGCGGAAUUCGUGGUGUAGCGGUGAAAUGCUUAGAUAUCACGAAGAACUCCGAUUGCGAAGGCAGCUUACUAAAGUGUUACUGACACUGAGGCUCGAAGGUGUGGGUAUCAAACAGGAUUAGAUACCCCAGUAGUC
rnacentral:rRNA from 1 species